rnacentral:lncRNA from 1 species
GGGCAUGCGAGGUGUGCGAGGGAAAGUUGGAUGAUGCUCAUUAGCCACUGACAUAGGGGUCGAAGUAGGAGGAGGGGACUAUGGAGCAGCAACUGGAGCAAGUGAGGAAGGGCCAGCAGCGGGUGCAGGAGAUGGUGAUCGAGCAUAGUCAGAGGGGGAAGACCACUUAGAAGACUAAAUCCUCAGGCUGUUCUCCUUCUGCUUCAGGUU